rnacentral:rRNA from 1 species
AGCGUACACGGUGGAUGCCUUGGCAGUCAGAGGCGAUGAAGGACGUAUUAACUUGCGAUAAGCCCAGAUUAGGUAGUAAAAACCAUUUGAGUCUGGGAUUUCCGAAUGGGGAAACCCAAUACCAUAAGGUAUUACUGUUGAGUGAAUACAUAGCUCAACAGGGCGAACCGGGGGAACUGAAACAUCUAAGUACCCCGAGGAAAAGAAAUCAACCGAGAUUCCGAAAGUAGCGGCGAGCGAAAUUGGACUAGCCCUUAAGCUUUACACGCAUUAGACGAACAGCCUGGAAAGGCCGACGAUACAGGGUGAUAGUCCCGUAGUUGACGACGUGUGUUCAGUGAAAUCGAGUAGGGCGGGACACGUGAUAUCCUGUCUGAAUAUGGGGGGACCAUCCUCCAAGGCUAAAUACUACUGACUGACCGAUAGUGAACCAGUACCGUGAGGGAAAGGCGAAAAGAACCCCUGUGAGGGGAGUGAAAUAGAACCUGAAACCGUGUACGUACAAGCAGUAGGAGCAGGCUUGUCCUGUGACUGCGUACCUUUUGUAUAAUGGGUCAGCGACUUAUAUUCAGUGGCAAGGUUAACCAUCUAGGGGAGCCGUAGGGAAACCGAGUCUUAACUGGGCGUUCAGUCUCUGGAUAUAGACCCGAAACCAGGUGAUCUAGCCAUGGGCAGGUUGAAGGUUGAGUAACAUCAACUGGAGGACCGAACCGACUAAUGUUGAAAAAUUAGCGGAUGACUUGUGGCUAGGGGUGAAAGGCCAAUCAAACCUGGAGAUAGCUGGUUCUCCCCGAAAGCUAUUUAGGUAGCGCCUCGGACGAAUACUACUGGGGGUAGAGCACUGUUAAGGCUAGGGGGUCAUCCCGACUUACCAACCCUUUGCAAACUCCGAAUACCAGUAAGUACUAUCCGGGAGACACACGGCGGGUGCUAACGUCCGUCGUGGAGAGGGAAACAACCCAGACCGCCAGCUAAGGUCCCAAAUUACUACUAAGUGGGAAACGAUGUGGGAAGGCUCAGACAGCCAGGAUGUUGGCUUAGAAGCAGCCAUCAUUUAAAGAAAGCGUAAUAGCUCACUGGUCGAGUCGGCCUGCGCGGAAGAUGUAACGGGGCUAAGUAGUAAACCGAAGCUGCGGCAAUAUACUUUUGUAUAUUGGGUAGGGGAGCGUUCUGUAAGCGGUUGAAGGUGUGUGGUAACGCAUGCUGGACGUAUCAGAAGUGCGAAUGCUGACAUGAGUAACGAUAAAGGGGGUGAAAAACCUCCUCGCCGGAAGACCAAGGGUUCCUGUCCAACGUUAAUCGGGGCAGGGUAAGUCGACCCCUAAGGCGAGGCCGAAAGGCGUAGUCGAUGGGAAACGGGUUAAUAUUCCCGUACUUCUUACAAUUGCGAUGGGGGGACGGAGAAGGCUAGGUGGGCCUGGCGACGGUUGUCCAGGUUCAAGUGCGUAGGCUGAGAAAUUAGGUAAAUCCGGUUUCUCUUAAGGCUGAGACACGACGUCGAGCAUCUACGGAUGUGAAGUCAUUGAUGCCAUGCUUCCAGGAAAAGCCUCUAAGCUUCAGAUUGUAAGGAAUCGUACCCCAAACCGACACAGGUGGUCGGGUAGAGAAUACCAAGGCGCUUGAGAGAACUCGGGUGAAGGAACUAGGCAAAAUGGUACCGUAACUUCGGGAGAAGGUACGCUCUCGACGGUGAAGUCCCUCGCGGAUGGAGCUAUUGAGAGUCGCAGAUACCAGGUGGCUGCAACUGUUUAUUAAAAACACAGCACUGUGCAAAAUCGUAAGAUGACGUAUACGGUGUGACGCCUGCCCGGUGCCGGAAGGUUAAUUGAUGGGGUUAGACUUCGGUCGAAGCUCUUGAUCGAAGCCCCGGUAAACGGCGGCCGUAACUAUAACGGUCCUAAGGUAGCGAAAUUCCUUGUCGGGUAAGUUCCGACCUGCACGAAUGGCGUAAUGAUGGCCACGCUGUCUCCACCCGAGACUCAGUGAAAUUGAAAUCGCUGUGAAGAUGCAGUGUACCCGCGGCUAGACGGAAAGACCCCGUGAACUCUUGAAUUCCUUGUCAUUUCAACAGAAUAAAAGAAUAAUCCAAGCCCCAUUUGUAGCACGGUAACAGCGAGUUGCGC